AGAUGUACAUGUGUGUAUCUGUGCAUGUGCAUGUGCAUGCACACAAACAUGCCUAAAUAUACCCACACAUGCAUCU
rnacentral:miRNA from 1 species